AACGAACGCUGGCGGCAUGCCUAACACAUGCAAGUCGAACGAGACCUUCGGGUCUAGUGGCGCACGGGUGCGUAACGCGUGGGAACCUGCCCUUAGGUUCGGAAUAACUCCCCGAAAGGGGUGCUAAUACCGGAUAAUGUCUUCGGACCAAAGAUUUAUCGCCUUUGGAUGGGCCCGCGUUGGAUUAGCUAGUUGGUAGGGUAAAAGCCUACCAAGGCGACGAUCCAUAGCUGGUCUGAGAGGAUGAUCAGCCACACUGGGACUGAGACACGGCCCAGACUCCUACGGGAGGCAGAAGUGGGGAAUAUUGGACAAUGGGCGAAAGCAUGAUCCAGCAAUGCCGCGUGAGUGAUGAAGGCCUUAGGGUUGUAAAGCUCUUUUACCCGGGAUGAUAAUGACAGUACCGGGAGAAUAAGCUCCGGCUAACUCCGUG
rnacentral:rRNA from 1 species